rnacentral:lncRNA from 1 species
UUCUAGAGAGGUGAAAAGAAGACAGGAUGGGAAGAAUCAUGGACGUUGGCUUUGUACGUCUUUAUGCUUGGCGAUCUCCAAAUGGAGGAAACUGGAAAGAAAAAGGUAAAGAUAAUCUGUAAUUUCAUCACCCGGAGACAACUGCUGUUGACAUUGCCUUGUGCAUCUGAGGAGGACUUUGACAGGUGAGGUGGUGGGAGGAU